GAUUUUUCAAUGGCCGCGGUAAUUUGACCGUGCAAAGGUAGCAUAAUCACUUGUCUCUUAAAUGGAGGCUAGAAUGAAUGGUUGGACGAGAUAUAUACUUUCUUUGUAGUAUUAAUUUGAAUUUGAUUUUUGAGUUAAAAAGCUUAAAUUUUUUUAUGGGACGAGAAGACCCUGUAGAAUUUUAUACUGAAUCAUUUUAAUUGUUUUUGGUUUAUUAUUGACUUUUUUUGUUGUUUUAGUAUUUUGUUGGGGCGACAGGAAGAUUUUUUUAACUCUUCUUAUUUUUUUUCAUUGAUUUAUGUUUUAUUUUGAUCCUUUAUUAAAGAUUAAAAGAUUAAAUUACCUCAGGGAUAACAGCGUAAUCCUUUUGGAGAGUUCUUAUCGAUAAAAGGGUUUGCGACCUCGAU
rnacentral:rRNA from 1 species